rnacentral:rRNA from 1 species
UACGUAGGCGGAAAAUUAAGUCAGUAGUGAAAUCCUGCAGCUUAACUGUAGAACUGUUAUUGAUACUGGUUUUCUUGAAUAUAGUUGAGGUAGGCGGAAUGUGUAAUGUAGCGGUGAAAUGCUUAGAUAUUACACAGAACACCGAUUGCGAAGGCAGCUUACUAAGCUAUGAUUGACGCUGAGGUACGAAAGCGUGGGGAGCGAACAGGAUUAGAUACCCUGGUAGUCC